UUGUGCAGUUUGGCGUAUGAUACAAUCCACUCGCGCCAGUGAGCAAAAUAGUCAUCUUGGGGGUAAAGGGGUGUGGUUGACAUAAGUGAAAAAUAACAAAUAUAACUUAUGAUUCAGAAAUUCAAAACCAAUUUUAUUAAGCAUGUAUCUUCCCCUUGAUCUAAUUAGUCCUUUCGACCUGUAAUUUACAAAUUUUUAUACGUGGCGUUUAAUUCUCGCAUGAAAAUGCAAUGAGGCAAUUCACCCUGUCAUUGGCAAGAUGUAAAAUGGGCUUCACCGCGUUGCAAAUUUGGCCUCCAAAAUUCAAAUUUGUAAUUGACAAUUGCCCAUGAAGUUCAAACUUGAGAAGCUACGCGAAGGUAUCUCUUGGAGAAAAUCACAGCAUCACUUCUGCACGUCCUUUGGUCCGUUGGUCUCGACUGCUUUAUGCUCACUCACGUAGAAGACAAAAGGAUAUUUCCUGAAUUUGGACCCUCUUUUUAACCGUGGACGGAUUAUUCGGCGUCAUGUUCCGCUUCAGAACCCCGACCAAAGUUUUACUCCCGCUGUUCGGG